rnacentral:rRNA from 1 species
UGGGGAAUAUUGCACAAUGGGGGAAACCCUGAUGCAGCGACGCCGCGUGAGCGAAGAAGGUUUUCGAAUCGUAAAGCUCUGUCCUAUGGGAAGAUAAUGACGGUACCAUAGGAGGAAGCCCCGGCUAACUACGUGCCAGCAGCCGCGGUAAUACGUAGGGGGCAAGCGUUGUCCGGAAUCACUGGGCGUAAAGGGUUCGCAGGCGGAAAUGCAAGUCAGUUGUGAAAGGCAGAGGCUCAACCUCUGUAGCAAUUGAAACUGUAUUUCUUGAGAUGUGGAGAGGCAAGUGGAAUUCCUAGUGUAGCGGUGAAAUGCGUAGAUAUUAGGAAGAAUACCGGUGGCGAAGGCGACUUGCUGGACACAAACUGACGCUGAGGAACGAAAGCGUGGGUAGCAAACAGG